rnacentral:rRNA from 1 species
AACGAACGCUGGCGGCAGGCUUAACACAUGCAAGUCGAGCGCCCCGCAAGGGGAGCGGCAGACGGGUGAGUAACGCGUGGGAAUCUACCCAUCUCUACGGAAUAACGCAUGGAAACGUGUGCUAAUACCGUAUACGUCCUUCGGGAGCAAGAUUUAUCGGAGAUGGAUGGGCCCGCGUGGGAUUAGCUAGUUGGCGGGGUACAGGCCUAUCAAGGCGACGAGCCAUAGCUGGUCUGAGAGGAUGAUCAGCCACACUGGGACUGAGACACGGCCCAGACUCCUACGGGAGGCAGCAGUGGGGAAGAUUAGACAAUGGGCGCAAGCCUGAUCCAGCCAUGCCGCGUGAGUGAUGAAGGCCCUAGGGUUGUAAAGCACUUUCACCGGUGAAGAUAAUGACGGUAACCGGAGAAGAAGCCCCGGCUAACUUCGUGCCAGCAGCCGCGGUAACAC